rnacentral:tRNA from 1 species
GGGAAGGUGGCUCAGUGGUAGAGUGCUUGCCUAGCAUGCAUGAGGCUCCAGGUUCGAUUCCUCAGUACCA